AUGAACGCUGGCGGCGUGCCUAAUACAUGCAAGUCGAGCGAACAGACAAGGAGCUUGCUCCUCUGACGUUAGCGGCGGACGGGUGAGUAACACGUGGAUAACCUACCUAUAAGACUGGGAUAACUUCGGGAAACCGGAGCUAAUACCGGAUAAUAUAUUGAACCGCAUGGUUCAAUAGUGAAAGACGGUUUUGCUGUCACUUAUAGAUGGAUCCGCGCCGCAUUAGCUAGUUGGUAAGGUAACGGCUUACCAAGGCGACGAUGCGUAGCCGACCUGAGAGGGUGAUCGGCCACACUGGAACUGAGACACGGUCCAGACUCCUACGGGAGGCAGCAGUAGGGAAUCUUCCGCAAUGGGCGAAAGCCUGACGGAGCAACGCCGCGUGAGUGAUGAAGGUCUUCGGAUCGUAAAACUCUGUUAUUAGGGAAGAACAAAUGUGUAAGUAACUAUGCACGUCUUGACGGUACCUAAUCAGAAAGCCACGGCUAACUACGUG
rnacentral:rRNA from 1 species